UACGUAGGGUCCAAGCGUUGUCCGGAUUUACUGGGCGUAAAGAGCGCGUAGGCGGUCUGUUAAGUGAGAAGUGAAAUCUCCAGGGCUCAACCCGGAAACUGCUUUUCAUACUGGCAGACUUGAGGGAUGCAGAGGUGAAUGGAAUUCCUGGUGUAGCGGUGAAAUGCGUUGAUAUCAGGAGGAACACCCAUGGCGAAGGCAGUUCUCUGGGCCGUAACUGACGCUGAGGUGCGAAAGCGUGGGGAGCAAACAGG
rnacentral:rRNA from 1 species